UACGUAGGUGGCAAGCGUUAUCCGGAAUUAUUGGGCGUAAAGCGCGCGUAGGCGGUUACUCAAGUCGGAUGUGAAAGCCCUCGGCUUAACUGAGGAAGUGCACCCGAAACUGAGUAGCUAGAGUACUAAAGAGGGUCGCGGAAUUCCCGGUGUAGAGGUGAAAUUCGUAGAUAUCGGGAGGAACACCGGUGGCGAAGGCGGCGACCUGGGUAGAUACUGACGCUGAGGCGCGAAAGCGUGGGGAGCAAACAGG
rnacentral:rRNA from 1 species